GAUGAACGCUGGCUACAGGCUUAACACAUGCAAGUCGAGGGGAAACGACGGGGAAGCUUGCUUCCCCGGGCGUCGACCGGCGCACGGGUGAGUAACGCGUAUCCAACCUGCCUCUGACUGGGGGAUAACCCGUCGAAAGUCGGCCUAAUACCUCAUGGCAUCGUCUGCGGGCAUCCAACGACGAUUAAAGAUUUCAUCGGUCAGGGACGGGGAUGCGUCUGAUUAGCUUGUUGGCGGGGUAACGGCCCACCAAGGCUACGAUCAGUAGGGGUUCUGAGAGGAAGGUCCCCCACAUUGGAACUGAGACACGGUCCAAACUCCUACGGGAGGCAGCAGUGAGGAAUAUUGGUCAAUGGGCGGGAGCCUGAACCAGCCAAGUAGCGUGCAGGAUGACGGCCCUAUGGGUUGUAAACUGCUUUUAUGCGGGGAUAAAGUGAGGGACGUGUCCUUCAUUGCAGGUACCGCAUGAAUAAGGACCGGCUAAUUCCGUG
rnacentral:rRNA from 1 species